rnacentral:rRNA from 1 species
UACGAAGGGUGCAAGCGUUACUCGGAAUUACUGGCGUAAAGCGUGCGUAGGUGGUUCGUUAAGUCUGAUGUGAAAGCCCUGGGCUCAACCUGGGAAUGGCAUUGGAAACUGGCGACCUAGAGUGCGGUAGAGGGUAGUGGAAUUCCGGUGUAGCAGUGAAAUGACGUAGAGAUCGGGAGGAACAUCUGUGGCGAAGGCGACUGCCUGGACCAGCACGUGACACUGAGGCACGAAAGCGUGGGGAGCAAACAGGG